CCUUUCUUAAGAGCCUGGGGGAAACUGAAAACCAACCAGACGUGGGGUGAAGGAGUGGGAGUCCAGAGGAAAAAGUCUGCCAAAUCCUGGUCUCAUCAAAUGCUUCUCAGACUUUAGUGUGCAUACUAAUCACCUGGGGGACCUUGCUCUAAUGCAUGUUUUGAUUCAGUAAGUCGAGAGUGGAACCUGAGAGUCUGCGUUUGUAACAAGUUCCCAGAUGCUGCUGAUGCUGCUGGUCUGCAGGCCACUCUUGAGAAGCAUUAAGUCCAGAUGGCUGAGACUGCUGAACUGAUUGAGAAAAGGAGAAGAACCAACUGCAUAAUAUUCUAAAAAGUUUAUUGCCUAUGGUCUCAGAAAAUGAAAUUUUCUCUUCUUGAAGCUUAAGAAUUCUCUCCUCUUUCAAGUCAAGUACAGUAAUUCACUUAUCCAAUGGUCGCAUCUCCAACCUCAUCGAUCUGGAGUAUCGGUCCCAAUUAGGAAAUAAGAAGGGUACUGUAACACUCCAGAACAAUAAAAUAAGAUUCACAAUAAGGUUCAUAAGCAGGAGCAAACAUCAAGAAAAAGUGACGUUCUAACUUUAUAGUGAUAUCUAAAGCAGAUAAACAUGUAACUUUCUUUUAAAACCACCAUUAAAUAAAUAUUCACAUUUGAA
rnacentral:lncRNA from 1 species